GCGCCCUUGGUUUCCUAGUUGAUACGUAUAACAAUGAGACAUGAGGAAUGCUUGAAGCUAAGGAAAAACAGUUAUCCAUAAUGUGAUCAAUAUGCCAAGGACAUUCUUCCACCACAUGAUUCAAGAUGUUAAUCAUCAAAAGAUUGUCACUCUCAGAUAGCUUGCUGCAGACCUAUCUCAACGACCUUCUGACAGCAAAACGAGUAGCAAAGCUUCAGCAACAAGCCCAUAUGUGAGACCCACAUAACAGAAAAGCCACCUAAGAACCACCCUCUUGCCUCUCUGAGAACCCCUCCAAUACCAAAGGCACCUGGACAGCCACAAGAUGAUCCAUAGAUAUUAAUUUUCACUAAAGGUGGAGGUGGAGGAUCCCAUUUAAUGUAAGCAACUGAUGUCCGCUGAAGCUGGGACAAUGAGAUGGAGAUGAGUUCCUGAUUAUACAGAGCUUAUCACCAUGACGAUAUUGCCCACAUAUCAAUGGAAGAGGUUAGCUUUGCUGCCAGCUUGGUGUUUGGCGAGCAUCCAACGCUCAGAAAUGCCUUGGAUUGCAUGCGACUGCCUUGGGCUUCGUGCCUGAGCAAUUUUUACCGUUGGAUGCACGCCAGACUCCUUAUUACGCCACAGAGGAAUUCGAUGCGGGAUGAGAGAGGUAUAGAAGACUUUUCCAAGGAAAGGAGGAGAGAGAUGGACAAAGAUUUGAAUAUAUCGCUAGUAUACCCAACAUUUUCCCAUGCCUUGUAUACAAUUUUCUGUGCCGCAUAAAAUGAUUCUCACAAUUUUUUUAUUUUCCCCGGCAGCUGUUCAUUAAUUUCAUUCCAACGUGCUGCAAAGAAAUGUAUAAGAAACUAGAGGUGCUAAGGGUCUACUCGACCCUCUCUCCCCUAUUUUGCUUGUAAUAUUUUCAUUUGAUUUCAUAGCCAGUCUUUACUUA